rnacentral:miRNA from 1 species
GUUAUUUUGCAUAUCCUGCA